rnacentral:rRNA from 1 species
GAUGAACGCUGGCGGCGUGCCUAAUACAUGCAAGUCGAGCGAACAGACGAGGAGCUUGCUCCUAUGACGUUAGCGGCGGACGGGUGAGUAACACGUGGAUAACCUACCUAUAAGACUGGGAUAACUUCGGGAAACCGGAGCUAAUACCGGAUAAUAUAUUGAACCGCAUGGUUCAAUAGUGAAAGACGGUUUUGCUGUCACUUAUAGAUGGAUCCGCGCCGCAUUAGCUAGUUGGUAAGGUAACGGCUUACCAAGGCGACGAUGCGUAGCCGACCUGAGAGGGUGAUCGGCCACACUGGAACUGAGACACGGUCCAGACUCCUACGGGAGGCAGCAGUAGGGAAUCUUCCGCAAUGGGCGAAAGCCUGACGUAGCAACGCCGCGUGAGUGAUGAAGGUCUUCGGAUCGUAAAACUCUGUUAUUAGGGAAGAACAAAUGUGUAAGUAACUAUGCACGUCUUGACGGUACCUAAUCAGAAAGCCACGGCUAACUACGUG